CCUUCGGGGGCUUUUUUUUGGGCGCGGCUGUGCCCGUGGCCUAUUUUUGGCACACGGAGGCCGCCCGCCAAGUCUGGUGCCAUUCCGAUACCCGCGGACGAACUUCGCCCACGCCCCCCACCAAGGCUAUAGCCCACCCGUUUUUUGGCCAUUUUUCCGCUGGGGGGUCUUGGGACCCCGACCUUCGGGGGCUGUUUUUUGGGCGCGGCUGUGCCCGUGGCCUAUUUUUGGCACACGGAGGCCGCCCGCCAAGUCUGGUGCCAUUCCGAGUCCCGCGGACGAACUUCGCCCACGCCCCCCACCAAGGCUAUAGCCCACCCGUUUUUUGGCCAUUUUUCCACUGGGGGGUCUUGGGACCCCGAACUUCGGGGGCUAUUUUUUGGGCGCGGCUGUGCCCGUGGCCUAUAUUUGGCACACGGAGGCCGCCCUCCAAGUCUGGUGCCAUUCCGAGUCCCACGGACGAACUUCGCCCACGCCCCCCACCAAGGCUAUAGCCUACCCGUUUUUUGGCCAUUUUUCCGCUGGGGGGUCUUGGGACCCCGAACUUCGGGGGCUGUUUUUUGGACGCGGCUGUGCCCUUGGCCUAUUUUUGGCACACGGAGGCCGCCCGCCAAGUCUGGUGCCAUUCCGAGUCCCGCGGACGAACAUCGCCCACGCCCCCCACCAAGGCUAUAGCCCACCCGUUUUUUGGCCAUUUUUCCGCUGGGGGGUCUUGGGACCCCGACCUUCGGGGGCUGGUUCUUGGGCGCGGCUGUGCCCGUGGCCUAUUUUUGGCACACGGAGGCCGCCCGCCAAGUCUGGUGCCAUUCCGAGUCCCGCGGACGAACUUCGCCCACGCCCCCCACCAAGGCUAUAGCCCACCCGUUUUUUGGCCAUUUUUCUGCUGGGGGGUCUUGGGACCCCGAACUUCGGGGGCUGAUUUUUGGGCGCGGCUGUGCCCGUGGCCUAUUUUUGGCACACGGAGGCAGCCCGCCAAGUCUGGUACCAUUCCGAGUACCGCGGACGAACUUCGCCCACGCCCCCCACCAAGGCUAUAGUCCACCCGUUUUUUGGCCAUUUUUCCGCUGGGGGGUCUUGGGACCCCGACCAUCGGGGGCUGAUUUUUGGGCGCGGCUGUGCCCGUGGCCUAUUUUUGGCACACGGAGGCAGCCCGCCAAGUCUGGUACCAUUCCGAGUACCGCGGACGAACUUCGCCCACGCCCCCCACCAAGGCUAUAGUCCACCCGUUUUUUGGCCAUUUUUCCGCUGGGGGGUCUUGGGACCCCGACCAUCGGGGGCUUGUUUUUGGGCGCGGCUGUGCCCGUGGCCUAUUUUUGGCACACGGAGGCCGCCCGCCAAGUCUGGUGCCAUUCCGAGUCCCGCGGACGAACUUCGCCCACGCCCCCCCACCAGACUAUAGCCCACCCGUUUUUUGGCCAUUUUUCCGCUGGGGGGUCUUGGGACCCCGAACUUCGGGGGCUGUUUUUUGGGCGCGGCUGUGCCCGUGUCCUAUUUUUGGCACACGGAGGCCUACCGCCAAGUCUGGUGCCAUUCCGAGUCCCGCGGACGAACUUCGCCCACGCCCCCCACCAAGGCUAUAGCCCACCCGUUUUUUGGCCAUUUUUCCGCUGGGGGGUCUUGGGACCCCGACCUUCGGGGGCUGUUUUUUGGGGGCGGCUGUGCCCGUGGCCUAUUUUUGGCACACGGAGGCCUACUGCCAAGUCUGGUGCCAUUCCGAGUCCCGCGGACGAACUUCGCCCACGCCCCCCACCAAGGCUAAAGCCCACCCGUUUUUUGGCCAUUUUUCCGCUGGGGGGUCUUGGGACCCCGACCUUCGGGGGCUGGUUUUUGGGCGCGGCUGUGCCCGUGGCCUAUUUUUGGCACACGGAGGCCGCCCGUCAAGUCUGGUGCUAUUCCGAGUCCCGCGGACGAACUUCGCCCACGCCCCCCACCAAGGCUAUAGCCCACCCGUUUUUUGGCCAUUUUUCCGCUGGGGGGUCUUGGGACCCCGACCUUCGGGGGCUGAUUUUUGGGCGCGGCUGUGCCCGUGGCCUAUUUUUGGCACACGGAGGCAGCCCGCCAAGUCUGGUCCCAUUCCGUGUCCCGCGGACGAACUUCGCCCACGCCCCCCACCAAGGCUAUAGCCCACCCGUUUUUUGGCCAUUUUUCCGCUGGGGGAUCUUGGGACCCCGAACUUCGGGGGCUGUUUCUUCGGCGUGGCUGUGCCCAUGGCCUAUUUUUGGCCCACGGAGGCCUACCGCCAUGUCUGGUGCCAUUCCGAGUCCCGUGGACGAACUUCGCCCACGCCACCCACCAAGGCUAUAGCCCACCCGUUUUUUGGCCAUUUUUCCGCUGGGGGGUCUUGGGACCCCGAACUUCGGGGGCUGUUUUUUGGGUGUGGCUGUGCCCAUGGCCUAUUUUUGGCACACGGUGGCCUACCGCCAAGUCUGGUGCCAUUCCGAGUCCCGCGGACGAACUUCGCCCACGCCCCCCACCAAGGCUAAAGCCCACCCGUUUUUUGCCCAUUUUUCCGCUGGGGGGUCUUGGGACCCCGACCUUCGGGGGCUGGUUUUUGGGCGCGACUGUGCCCGUGGCCUAUUUUUGGCACACGGAGGCCGCCCAUCAAGUCUGGUGCUAUUCCGAGUCCCGCGGACGAACUUCGCCCACGCCCCCCACCAAGGCUAUAGCCCACCCGUUUUUUGGCCAUUUUUCCGCUGGGGGGUCUUGGGACCCCGACCUUCGGGGGCUGAUUUUUGAGCGCGGCUGUGCCCGUGGCCGAUUUUUGGCACACGGAGGCAGCCCGCCAAGUCUGGUCCCAUUCCGUGUCCCGCGGACGAACUAUGCCCACGCCCCCCACCAAGGCUAUAGCCCACCCGUUUUUUGGCCAUUUUUCCGCUGGUGGAUCUUGGGACCCCGAACUUCGGGGGCUGUUUUUUGGGCGUGGCUGUGCCCAUGGCCUAUUUUUGGCACACGGAGGCCUACCGCCAAGUCUGGUGCCAUUCCGAGUCCCGCGGACGAACUUCGCCCACGCCCCCCACAAAGGCUAUAGCCCACCUGUUUUUUGGCCAUUUUUCCGCUGGGGGGUCUUGGGACCCCGAACUUCGGGGGCUGUUUUUUGGGCGUGGCUGUGCCCAUGGCCUAUUUUUGGCACACGGAGGCCGCCCGUCAAGUCUGGUGCUAUUCCGAGUCCCGCGGACGAACUUCGCCCACGCCCCCCACCAAGGCUAUAGCCCAUCCGUUUUUUGGCCAUUUUUCCGCUGGGGGGUCUUGGGACCCCGACCUUCGGGGGCUGAUUUUUGGGCGCGGCUGUGCCCGUGGCCUAUUUUUGGCACACGGAGGUAGCCCACCAAGUCUGGUCCCAUUCCGUGUCCCGCGGACGAACUUCGCCCACGUCCCCCACCAAGGCUAUAGCCCACCCGUUUUUUGGCCAUUUUUCCGCUGGGGGAUCUUGGGACCCCGAACUUCGUGGGCUGUUUUUUGGGCGUGGCUGUGCCCAUGGCCUAUUUUUGGCACACGGAGGCCUACCGCCAAGUCUGGUGCCAUUCCGAGUCCCGUGGACGAACUUCGCCCACGCCACCCACCAAGGCUAUAGCCCACCCGUUUUUUGGCCAUUUUUCCGCUGGGGGGUCUUGGGACCCCAAACUUCGGGGGCUGUUUUUUGGGUGUGGCUGUGCCCAUGGCCUAUUUUUGGCACACGGAGGCCUACCGCCAAGUCUGGUGCCAUUCCGAGUCCCGCGGACGAACUUCGCCCACGCCCCCCACCAAGGCUAUAGCCCACCCGUUUUUUGGCCAUUUUUCCGCUGGGGGGUCUUGGGACCCCGACCUUCGGGGGCUGUUUUUUGGGCGCGGCUGUGCCCGUGGCCUAUUUUUGGCACACGGAGGCCGCCCGCCAAGUCUGGUGCCAUUCCGAGUCCCGCGGACGAACUUCGCCCACGCCCCCCACCAAGGCUAUAGCCCACCCGUUUUUUGGCCAUUUUUCCGCUGGGGGGUCUUGGGACCCCGACCUUCGGGGGCUGGUUUUUGGGCGCGGCUGUGCCCGUGGCCUAUUUUUGGCACACGGAGGACGCCCGCCAAGUCUGGUCCCAUUCCGAGUCCCGCGGACGAACAUCGCCCACGCCCCCAACCAAGGCUAAAGCCCACCCGUUUUUUGGCCAUUUUUCCGCUGGGGGGUCUUGGGACCCCGACCUUCGGGGGCUGGUUUUUGGGCGCGGCUGUGCCCGUGGCCUAUUUUGGGCACACGGAGGCCGCCCGCCAAGUCUGGUGCCAUUCCGAGUCCCGCGGACGAACUUCGCCCCGCCCCCCACCAAGGCUAUAGCCCACCCGUUUUUUGGCCAUUUUUCCGCUGGGGGGUCUUGGGACCCCGACCUUCGGGGGCUGAUUUUUGGGCGCGGCUGUGCCCGUGGCCUAUUUUUGGCACACGGAGGCAGCCCGCCAAGUCUGGUCCCAUUCCGUGUCCCGCGGACGAACUACGCCCACGCCCCCCACCAAGGCUAUAGCCCACCCGUUUUUUGGCCAUUUUUCCGCUGGGGGAUCUUGGGACCCCGAACUUCUGGGGCUGUUUUUUGGGCGUGGCUGUGCCCAUGGCCUAUUUUUGGCACACGGAGGCCUACCGCCAAGUCUGGUGCCAUUCCGAGUCCCGUGGACGAACUUCGCCCACGCCACCCACCAAGGCAAUAGCCCACCCGUUUUUUGGCCAUUUUUCCGCUGGGGGGUCUUGGGACCCCGAACUUCGGGGGCUGUUUUUUGGGCGCGGCUGUGCCCGUGGCCUAUUUUUGGCACACGGAGGACGCCCGUCAAGUCUGGUGCUAUUCCGAGUCCCGCGGACGAACUUCGCCCACGCCCCCCACCAAGGCUAUAGCCCACCCGUUUUUUGGCCAUUUUUCCGCUGGGGGGUCUUGGGACCCCGACCUUCGGGGGCUGAUUUUUGGGCGCGGCCGUGCCCGUGGCCUAUUUUUGGCACACGGAGGCAGCCCGCCAAGUCUGGUCCCAUUCCGUGUCCCGCGGACGAACUUCGCCCACGUCCCCCACCAAGGCUAUAGCCCACCCGUUUUUUGGCCAUUUUUCCGCUGGGGGAUCUUGGGACCCCGAACUUUGGGGGCUGUUUUUUGGGCGUGGCUGUGCCCAUGGCCUAUUUUUGGCACACGGAGGCCUACCGCCAAGUCUGGUGCCAUUCCGAGUCCCGUGGACGAACUUCGCCCACGCCACCCACCAAGGCUAUAGCCCACCCGUUUUUUGGCCAUUUUUCCGCUGGGGGGCCUUGGGACCCGAAUUUCGGGGGCUGUUUUUUGGGUGUGGCUGUGCCCAUGGCCUAUUUUUCGCAAACGGAGGCCUACCGCCAAGUCUGGUGCCAUUCCGAGUCCCGCGGACGAACUUCGCCCACGCCCCCCACCAAGGCUAUAGCCCACCCGUUUUUUGGCCAUUUUUCCGCUGGGGGGUUUUGGGACCCCGACCUUCGGGGGCUGUUUUUUGGGCGCGACUGUGGCCGUGGCCUAUUUUUGGCACACGGAGGCCGCCCGCCAAGUCUGGUGCCAUUCCGAGUCCCGCGGACAAACUUCGCCCACGCCCCCCACCAAGGCUAUAGCCCACCCGUUUUUUGGCCAUUUUUCCGCUGGGGGGUCUUGGGACCCCGACCUUCGGGGGCUGGUUUUUGGGCGCGGCUGUGCCCGUGGCCUAUUUUUGGCACACGGAGGACGCCCGCCAAGUCUGGUCCCAUUCCGAGUCCCGUGGACGAACAUCGCCCACGCCCCCCACCAAGGCUAAAGCCCACCCGUUUUUUGGCCAUUUUUCCGCUGGGGGGUCUUGGGACCCCGACCUUCGGGGGCUGGUUUUUGGGCGCGGAUGUGCCCGUGGCCUAUUUUGGGCACACGGAGGCCGCCCGCCAAGUCUGGUGCUAUUCCGAGUCCCGCGGACGAACUUCGCCCACGCCACCCACCACGGCUAUAGCCCACCCGUUUUUUGGCCAUUUUUCCGCUGGGGGGUCUUGGGACCCCGACCUUCGGGGGCUGAUUUUUGGGCGCGGCUGUGCCCGUGGCCUAUUUUUGGCACACGGAGGCAGCCCGCCAAGUCUGGUCCCAUACCGUGUCCCGCGGACGAACUUCGCCCACGCCCCCCACCAAGGCUAUAGCCCACCCGUUUUUUGGCCAUUUUUCCGCUGGGGGGUCUUGGGACCCCGAACUUCGGGGGCUGUUUUUUGGGCGCGGCUGUGCCCGUGUCCUAUUUUUGCACACGGAGGCCGCCCGCCAAGUCUGGUGCCAUUCCGAGUCCUGCGCACGAACUUCGCCCACGCCCCCGACCAAGGCUAUAGCCCACCCGUUUUUUGGCCAUUUUUCCGCUGGUGGGUCUUAGGACCCCGAACUUCGGGGGCUGUUUUUUGGACGCGGCUGUGCCCGUGGCCUAUUUUUGGCACACGGAGGCCUACCGCCAAGUCUGGUACCAUUCCGAGUCCCGCGGACGAACUUCGCCCACGCCCCCCACCAAGGCUAUAGCCCACCCGUUUUUUUGGCCAUUUUUCCGCUGGGGGGUCUUGGGACCCCGACCUUCGGGGGCUGUUUUUUGGGCGCGGCUGUGCCCGUGGCCUAUUUUUGGUACACGGAGGCCUACCGCCAAGUCUGGUCCCAUUCCGAGUCCCGCGGACGAACUUCGCCCACGCCCCCCACAAAGGCUAUAGCCCACCCGUUUUUUGGCCAUUUUUCCGCUGGGGGGUCUUGGGACCCCGACCUUCGGGGGCUGUUUUUUGGGUGCGGCUGUGCCCGUGGCCUAUUUUUGGCACACGAAGGCCGCCUGCCAAGUCUGGUGCCAUUCCGAGUCCCGCGGACGAACUUCUCCCACGCCCCCCACCAAGGCUAUAGCCCACCCGUUUUUUGGCCAUUUUUCCGCUGGGGGGUCUUGGGACCCCGACCUUCGGGGGCUGUUUUUUGGGUGCGGCUGUGCCCGUGGCCUAUUUUUGGCACACGAAGGCCGCCCGCCAAGUCUGGUGCCAUUCCGAGUCCCGCGGACGAAUUUCGCCCACGCACCCCACCAAGGCUAUAGCCCACCCGUUUUUUGGCCAUUUUUCUGCUGGGGGGUCUUGGGACCCCGACCUUCGGGGGCUGUUUUUUGGGCGCGGCUGUGCCCGUGGCCUAUUUUUGGCACACGGAGGCCUACCGCCAAGUCUGGUGCCAUUCCGAGUCCCGCGGACGAACUUCGCCCAUGCCCCCCACCAAGGCUAUAGCCCACCCGUUUUUUGGCCAUUUUUCCGCUGGGGGGUCUCGGGACCACGACCUUCGGGGGCUUUUUUUUGGGCGCGGAUGUGCCCGUGGCCUAUUUUUGGCACACGGAGGCCGCCCGCCAAGUCUGGUGCCAUUCCGAGUCCCGCGGACGAACUUCGCCCACGCCCCCCACCAAGGCUAUAGCCCACCCGUUUUUUGGCCAUUUUUCCGCUGGGGGGUCUUGGGACCCCGACCUUCGCGGGCUGUUUUUUGGGCGCGGCUGUGCCCGUGGCCUAUUUUUGGCACACGGAGCCUACCGCCAAGUCUGGUGCCAUUCCGAGUCCCGCGGACGAACUUCGCCCACGCCCCCCACCAAGGAUAUAGCCCACCCGUUUUUUGGCCAUUUUUCCGCUGGGGGGUCUUGGGACCACGACCUUCGGGGGCUGUUUUUUGGGUGCGGCUGUGCCCGUGGCCUAUUUUUGGCACACGAAGGCCGCCCGCCAAGUCUGGUGCCAUUCCGAGUCCCGCGGACGAACUUCACCCACGCCCCCCACCAAGGCUAUAGCCCACCAGUUUUUUGGCCAUUUUUCCGCUGGGGGGUCUUGGGACCCCGACCUUCGGGGAU
rnacentral:lncRNA from 1 species